UAAUACGUAGGGCGCAAGCGUUGUCCGGAAUUAUUGGGCGUAAAGAGCUCGUAGGCGGCUUGUCGCGUCGGUUGUGAAAGCCCGGGGCUUAACUCCGGGUCUGCAGUCGAUACGGGCAGGCUAGAGUUCGGUAGGGGAGAUCGGAAUUCCUGGUGUAGCGGUGAAAUGCGCAGAUAUCAGGAGGAACACCGGUGGCGAAGGCGGAUCUCUGGGCCGAUACUGACGCUGAGGAGCGAAAGCGUGGGGAGCGAACAGGAUUAGAUACCCUGGUAGUCCACGCCGUAAACGGUGGGCACUAGGUGUGGGCAGCAUUCCACGUUGUCCGUGCCGUAGCUAACGCAUUAAGUGCCCCGCCUGGGGAGUACGGCCGCAAGGCUAAA
rnacentral:rRNA from 1 species